rnacentral:rRNA from 1 species
AACGCUGAAGGAGGAGCUUGCUUCUCUGGAUGAGUUGCGAACGGGUGAGUAACGCGUAGGUAACCUGCCUGGUAGCGGGGGAUAACUAUUGGAAACGAUAGCUAAUACCGCAUAAGAGUAGAUGUUGCAUGACAUUUGCUUAAAAGGUGCAAUUGCAUCACUACCAGAUGGACCUGCGUUGUAUUAGCUAGUUGGUGGGGUAACGGCUCACCAAGGCGACGAUACAUAGCCGACCUGAGAGGGUGAUCGGCCACACUGGGACUGAGACACGGCCCAGACUCCUACGGGAGGCAGCAGUAGGGAAUCUUCGGUAAUGGACGGAAGUCUGACCGAGCAACGCCGCGUGAGUGAAGAAGGUUUUCGGAUCGUAAAGCUCUGUUGUAAGAGAAGAACGAGUGUGAGAGUGGAAAGUUCACACUGUGACGGUAUCUUACCAGAAAGGGACGGCUAACUACGUGCCAGCAGCCGCGGUAAUACGUAGGUCCCGAGCGUUGUCCGGAUUUAUUGGGCGUAAAGCGAGCGCAGGCGGUUAGAUAAGUCUGAAGUUAAAGGCUGUGGCUUAACCAUAGUACGCUUUGGAAACUGUUUAACUUGAGUGCAAGAGGGGAGAGUGGAAUUCCAUGUGUAGCGGUGAAAUGCGUAGAUAUAUGGAGGAACACCGGUGGCGAAAGCGGCUCUCUGGCUUGUAACUGACGCUGAGGCUCGAAAGCGUGGGGAGCAAACAGGAUUAGAUAACCUGGUAGUCCACGCCGUAAACGAUGAGUGCUAGGUGUUAGACCCUU